ensembl:lncRNA
CCCCACUAUACAACCAUGUACCAUCUACCAUCUAGCCCCACUACACAACCAUCUACCAUCUAGCCCCACUACACAACCAUCUACCAUCUAGCCCCACUAUACAACCAUCUACCAUCUAGCCCCACUACACAACCAUCUACCAUCUAGCCCCACUACACAACCAACUACCAUCUAGCCCCACUACACAACCAUCUACCAUCUAGCCCCACUACACGACCAGCUACCAUCUAGCCCCACUACACAACCAUCUACCAUCUAGCCCCACUACACAACCAUCUACCAUCUAGCCCCACUACACAACCAGCUACCAUCUAGCCCCCAUCUAGCCCCACUACACAACCAGCUACCAUCUAACCCCACUACACAACCAUCUACCACCUAGCCCCACUACACAACCAGCUGCCAUCUAGCCCCCAUCUAGCCCCACUACACAAACAUCUACCAUCUACCAUCUAGCCACACUACACAACCAGCUACCAUCUAUCCCCACUACACAACCAGCUACCAUCUAGCCCCACUACACAACCAGCUACCAUCUAGCCCCACUACACAACCAUCUACCAUCUAGCCCCACUACACGACCAGCUACCAUCUAGCCCCACUACACAACCAUCUACCAUCUAGCCCCACUACACAACCAUCAACCAUCUAACCACACUACACAACCAUCUACCAUCUAGCCCCACUACACAACCAUCUACCAUCUAGCCCCACUACACAAACAUCUACCAUCUACCAUCUAGCCACACUACACAACCAUCUACCACCUAGCCACACUACACAACCAUCUACCACCUAGCCACACUACACAACCAUCUACCAUCUAGCCCCACUACACAACCAUCUACCAUCUAGCCCCACUACACAACCAGCUACCAUCUAGCCCCCAUCUAGCCCCACUACACAACCAGCUACCAUCUAACCCCACUACACCAAUACAGGUAUCCUUUUCCUCCAGGUAUUGGGAACAAGCAGAGCUAUCUCAAACAUACCUGACUAAAAGAGAAGUCAAGCCUCUGCUCGUCCCGUAAACCAGAAUCCUUCAAGGCUAUGACCAACGUGUCUCAUAUCGUGACACAGAGGGCAAUAAAUCACUACAUUGAUUUCAUUUUCUAUUUCCCCAAGACCAUACAGUAGAAACACUCUCUCAUCU